rnacentral:rRNA from 1 species
UCCGUAGUCGGUGCUUGUGCAUCCUCUGUGAAAUCGUCGCGCUUAACCGAACGGCGCGCGGGGGACACGGCAACGCCUUGAGACCGGGAGGCGUCAAAAGUAUUCCAAAGGGACCGGUAAAAUGGUAUAAUCCUUGGAAGACCACCUGUGGCGAAGGCGUUUCCCCAGAACGGAUCUGACGAUGAGGGACGAAAGCCAGGGGAGCAAACCGGAUUAGAUACCCGA